AAGGCGAUAUUCGAAAAGCCUAAAAAAGAGUAGGAA
rnacentral:ncRNA from 1 species